GGAACGCUAAUACCGCAUACGUCCUACGGGAGAAAGUGGGGGAUCUUCGGACCUCACGCUAUCAGAUGAGCCUAGGUCGGAUUAGCUAGUUGGUGAGGUAAAGGCUCACCAAGGCGACGAUCCGUAACUGGUCUGAGAGGAUGAUCAGUCACACUGGAACUGAGACACGGUCCAGACUCCUACGGGAGGCAGCAGUGGGGAAUAUUGGACAAUGGGCGAAAGCCUGAUCCAGCCAUGCCGCGUGUGUGAAGAAGGUCUUCGGAUUGUAAAGCACUUUAAGUUGGGAGGAAGGGCAGUAAGUUAAUACCUUGCUGUUUUGACGUUACCGACAGAAUAAGCACCGGCUAACUUCGUGCCAGCAGCCGCGGUAAUACGAAGGGUGCAAGCGUUAAUCGGAAUUACUGGGCGUAAAGCGCGCGUAGGUGGUUCGUUAAGUUGGAUGUGAAAGCCCCGGGCUCAACCUGGGAACUGCAUCCAAAACUGGCGAGCUAGAGUAUGGCAGAGGGUGGUGGAAUUUCCUGUGUAGCGGUG
rnacentral:rRNA from 2 species